rnacentral:rRNA from 1 species
AGCGAACGCUGGCGGCAGGCUUAACACAUGCAAGUCGAGCGCCCGUAGCAAUACGGGAGCGGCAGACGGGAGAGUAACACGUGGGAACAUGCCCUUCGGUUCGGAAUAACUCAGGGAAACUUGAGCUAAUACCGGAUACGUCCGUAAGGAGAAAGAUUUAUCGCCGAAGGAUUGGCCCGCGUCCGAUUAGCUUGUUGGUGAGGUAAUGGCUCACCAAGGCGACGAUCGGUAGCNGGUCUGAGAGGAUGAUCAGCCUCACUGGGACUGAGACACGGCCCAGACUCCUACGGGAGGCAGCAGUGGGGAAUAUUGGACAAUGGGCGAAAGCCUGAUCCAGCCAUGCCGCGUGGGUGAUGAAGGCCUUAGGGUUGUAAAGCCCUUUCGGCGGGGAAGAUAAUGACGGUACCCGCAGAAGAACGCCCCCGGCUAACUUCGUGCCAGCAGCCGCAGUAA